rnacentral:lncRNA from 1 species
CUAGGUGAGGAGUAUGUCGCCUGCCUCCCUGACAACAGCUCAGGCACCGUGGCAGCAGUGUCCUUUUCAGCUGCCCACGAAGGCCUGCUUCAGCCAGAGGCCUGCAGCGCCUUCUGCUUCUCCACCGGCCAGGGCCUCGCAGCCCUCUCGGAGCAGGGCUGGUGCCUGUGUGGGGCGGCCCAGCCCUCUAGUGCCUCCUUCGCCUGCCUGUCCCUCUGCUCCGGCCCCCCGCCGCCUCCUGCCCCCACCUGUAGGGGCCCCACCCUCCUCCAGCACGUCUUCCCUGCCUCCCCAGGGGCCCCCCUGGUGGGGCCCCACGGACCCCUGGCCUCCGGCCAGCUAGCAGCCUUCCACAUCGCUGCCCCGCUCCCUGUCACUGCCACACGCUGGGACUUCGGAGACGGCUCCCCCGAGGUGGAUGCCGCUGGGCCGGCUGCCUCGCAUCGCUAUGUGCUGCCUGGGCGCUAUCACGUGACGGCCGUGCUGGCCCUGGGGGCCGGCUCAGCCCUGCUGGGGACAGACGUGCAGGUGGAAGCGGCACCUGCCGCCCUGGAGCUCGUGUGCCCGUCCUCGGUGCAGAGUGACGAGAGCCUCGACCUCAGCAUCCAGAACCGCGGUGGUUCAGGCCUGGAGGCUGCCUACAGCAUCGUGGCCCUGGGCGAGGAGCCGGCCCGAGCGGUGCACCCGCUCUGCCCCUCGGACACGGAGAUCUUCUCUGGCAACGGGCACUGCUACCGCCUGGUGGUGGAGAAGGCGGCCUGGCUGCAGGCGCAGGAGCAGUGUCGGGCCUGGGCCGGGGCCGCCCUGGCAAUGGUGGACAGUCCCGCCGUGCAGCGCUUCCUGGUCUCCCGGGUCACCAGGUGCCUGCCCCCACCCCCCGAGGGGCCAUAGG